rnacentral:rRNA from 1 species
AGCUUGCUCUCAAGAAGUUAGCGGCGGACGGGUGAGUAACACGUGGGUAACCUGCCCAUAAGACUGGGAUAACUCCGGGAAACCGGGGCUAAUACCGGAUAAUAUUUUGAACUGCAUGGUUCGAAAUUGAAAGGCGGCUUCGGCUGUCACUUAUGGAUGGACCCGCGUCGCAUUAGCUAGUUGGUGAGGUAACGGCUCACCAAGGCAACGAUGCGUAGCCGACCUGAGAGGGUGAUCGGCCACACUGGGACUGAGACACGGCCCAGACUCCUACGGGAGGCAGCAGUAGGGAAUCUUCCGCAAUGGACGAAAGUCUGACGGAGCAACGCCGCGUGAGUGAUGAAGGCUUUCGGGUCGUAAAACUCUGUUGUUAGGGAAGAACAAGUGCUAGUUGAAUAAGCUGGCACCUUGACGGUACCUAACCAGAAAGCCACGGCUAACUACGUGCCAGCAGCCGCGGUAAUACGUAGGUGGCAAGCGUUAUCCGGAAUUAUUGGGCGUAAAGCGCGCGCAGGUGGUUUCUUAAGUCUGAUGUGAAAGCCCACGGCUCAACCGUGGAGGGUCAUUGGAAACUGGGAGACUUGAGUGCAGAAGAGGAAAGUGGAAUUCCAUGUGUAGCGGUG